AUCUACAGCCAUGCCACCCUAAUCCUGAAAGCUAAGCAGGGUCUGGACUGGCCACUACUUAAAUGGCAGACCACCUGGGAAUAUCGGGUGCUGUAAACU
ensembl:rRNA 5S_rRNA 5S ribosomal RNA